AUUGAACGCUAGCGGGAUGCUUUACACAUGCAAGUCGAACGAGUGGCGGACGGGUGAGUAAUAUAUUGGCACGUGCCUAGUCGCGGGGGCUAACUACUCGACAGAGUGGCUAAUACCGCAUAAUAUUGGAGCGGCCGAUAUCGGUAUAGCUAGUGGGUGGGGUAAAGGCUCACCAUGGCAACGAUCCGUAGCUGGUCUGAGAGGACGACCAGCCACACUGGGACUGAGACACGGCCCAGACUCCUACGGGAGGCAGCAGUUGGGAAUUUUGGACAAUGGGGGAAACCCUGAUCCAGCCAUGCCGCGUGUAUGAGAAGGCCUUCGGGUUGUAAAGUACUUUGGGCAGAGAAGCGGUAUCUGCAGAAUAAGCACCGGCUAACUACGUGCCAGCAGCCGCGGUAAUUC
rnacentral:rRNA from 1 species